rnacentral:rRNA from 1 species
GACGAACGCUGGCGGCGUGCUUAACACAUGCAAGUCGAACGGAAAGGCCCUGCUUUUGUGGGGUGCUCGAGUGGCGAACGGGUGAGUAACACGUAGUAACCUGCCCUUGACUUUGGGAUAACUUCAGGAAACUGGGGCUAAUACCGGAUAGGAGCUCCUGCUGCAUGGUGGGGGUUGGAAAGUUUCGGCGGUUGGGGAUGGACUCGCGGCUUAUCAGCUUGUUGGUGGGGUAGUGGCUUACCAAGGCUUUGACGGGUAGCCGGCCUGAGAGGGUGACCGGCCACAUUGGGACUGAGAUACGGCCCAGACUCCUACGGGAGGCAGCAGUGGGGAAUAUUGCACAAUGGGCGGAAGCCUGAUGCAGCAACGCCGCGUGCGGGAUGACGGCCUUCGGGUUGUAAACCGCUUUCGCCUGUGACGAAGCGUGAGUGACGGUAAUGGGUAAAGAAGCACCGGCUAACUACGUG